CAGACAUAAAUGGACGAGUUUCCAGAAACGAAUUUAUUAAGAUCCCUCCAGUGAACUAGACCUGAAGGAGAAGGAGGUGAUGUCGCCGGUUUUGGACGUCAACGACGGCCGACUCUGGCCGGUCCUGCGGCUGUUGCCUAAACUGAGGAUGUGGUUAGAAUAGUUCCAACAACAACCUUUCAGUUUUUCGAUGUGCCCUUCUGGAGGCUUUUAUUAAAGUCGGGGUUUCAUUGUUUCCACUGCUGCGGCAAUGGUGCCGUUCGUUCGACCGUAACUCAAGUCGAAGAACUGCGCCAAGCCGUACUACCUCCGCGUCUACUUCCGUAAAAAGCUGAGG
rnacentral:rRNA from 1 species